rnacentral:lncRNA from 1 species
UAAACUCUUAAUAGCGAAUGAUAUGUGUUAGUAGUAUUGUAAACCUUCUAUAUGCUUAAUUGUAUGCUUGCAUGAAUGAUGUGAUUAUGUAAUUGUUAAUAAAUAAGCAUGAUGAAGCUAUUGAAUCCCAAAUCUUGAAAAGAAACCCUAAUCUACUUUGUUAAUGAAGAUGCCUUGGUAUAGAAGAAGGCUUGAUGAAUUAAAGUAAUGGGAUUGAUGAUGCCAUGGUAUAGAGAAGGCUUGAUGAUUUACAGAAUGAUAUUAGUGGAUCGGAGUGUCACGUUCCGACACAUAGUAUUAGUGGAUCGGAGUGUCACGUUCCGACACAUAGUAUUAGUGGAUCGGAGUGUCACGUUCCGACACAUAGUAUUAGUGGGACGGGUGUCAGGAACCGACACGUAGAAUUAGGGGAUCGGAGUGUCACGUACCGACACAUAUAGGGGAUCGGAGUGUCACGUACCGGCACAUAUAGGGGAUCGGAGUGUCAUGUACCGACACAUAUAGGGGAUCGGGUGUCACGAACCGACACGUAGAAUUAGGGGAUCGGAGUGUCAUGUACCAACACAUAGUAGUAGGGGAUCGGAGUGUCACGUACCGACACAAGAGGAAGAAAGAUAAUGAAUCUUGAAAGAUGAUAAUAUACUCAACUUAAUAAACUUAAUUCCCAAAUGAGUAUGGCAUUGAGGCUUGAGCCCUCAUGGAUGAACUUGAUGGUACUUAUUGAUGAUUAUAGUACCUAUUGUUGCUACAUGUUGAGUUUUAUAGUUGAAUUAUGAUAUUACUUGAUAUAUACUGUUCUCUAUUUUGAGUUGACCGAUGAUAUCUACUCAGUACCCGUGGUUUGUACUGACCCCUACUUUUUAUGUUUUCUUCUUGUUAUUUGUGGAGUGCAGCAAACGUUCCGUCAUCUUCAACUCAGCAGUGAUUCUAGCCAGUCUUCGUCAUACCGGAUAUUCAGGAUGAGCUAAUGCUUCUAGCUUGGACUGGGUCUUCUUCUUCAAGUCUUGAUGCCUUGAACUUCCGGCAUGGACUAGCUUCUUAUGUAUUUUUAGCUUUUAGAGUAUUCUUAGUUUAGUCAUUUGAUCGUAGAUGUUCUUGUGAUGGUGACUUCCAGAUUUUGGGGAAUAAUAGAUGUUGAAUUUUAGAAGUUAAUGAAUUGGUCUUUAUUUAAUGAGUUUAAGUCUUCCGCAUUACUUUCUGUUUAUAUUAUAUUGAAAUGUUAAGGUUUAGAUUGGUUGGUUCGCUCACAUAUGAGGGUAAGUGUGGCACGGAUUUGGGUCGUGACAAACUUGGUAUCAGAGCCUUAGGUUCGUUGGUCUCAUCACACAAGAACAGGUCUAGUAGAGUCUUAAGGAACGGUAGGGGGACGCCUUUACUUUUCCUUGAGAGGCUAUAAGACUUUAGGAAAAUUUCACUCUUUCAUUCUUUCUUUCGUGCUGCUACUUGAGUCCAAUUGGUAUCUAGGCAAUACGAAUUGGUAUCUGACCAUCUUCACUCUCUUUCGCAGAUGGUUAGAACUAGAGCAACGACUACGCCAACACCAACACCAGCACCGGCGGGACAGGGUGCGUCUGAGACAGCCACUGGGGCUGUAGCUCGAGGAAGAGCAGCGACAAGAGGCCGUGGUAGAGGUCGUGGGAGGACGUCCUCUAGGGGAAGAGGACGAGCACCUAGCCCAUUUGAUACUAGGGCAGUGACUCCUCCACCGACUGAGGAAGUAAUAAGAGAAGGGGAGGAUGGGGAAACUGAACAAGUGCAAAAUGAGGAAAUGCCACCCCAACCUACCCCAGAGAUGAUCAAUCAGGUUCUGGCUUAUCUUAGCGGGUUAUCUGAUCAAGGUCAGGCACCUCCAGUGUUUUCUGCGCCAACACCUCCGGUUUCAGAAGUACAACAUGCAGCCACUAUGGCUCCUCGUAUGGAGGCCUCAUUGGACAUAGGCACAUUUCCACGUCUGACUACUGGGCCUAUAAUGACAAAUGAUCAGCAUGAACUUUUCAGUAAGUUCUUGAAAUUGAAACCUCCGGUCUUCAAGGGUGCUGAAUCGGAGGAUGCUUAUGAUUUUCUGGUUGACUGUCACGAGCUACUACACAAGAUGGGUAUAGUAGAACGGUUUGGUGUGGAGUUUGUGACUUAUCAGUUUCAAGGGAACGCCAAAAUGUGGUGGCGGUCACAUAUCGAGUGUCAACCAAUAGAGGCACCACCUAUGACUUGGGCCUCAUUCUCUAGCUUGUUUAUGGAGAAGUAUAUCCCCCGAACUUUGAGGGAUAGGAAAAGGGAUGAGUUCUUGAGCCUAGAGCAAGGUAGGAUGUCGGUCAAUGCAUAUGAGGCUAAGUUUCAUGCAUUAUCCCGGUAUGCCACCCAACUAUGUUUCAGUCCACAAGAGUGAAUUCGCCGGUUUGUAAAGGGGUUGAGGUCAGAAUUGCGGAUUUCGGCCUUACAGAUAGCGGCAACGGCAAAAUCCUUCCAAGAGGUGGUAGACUUUGUGAUAGAAGUGGAAGGAGUGAAUCCAGACGACUUCACUAUGACAUCGACAUCAAAAAGGUUUCAAAAGGGAGGUGAGUUUAAUGGUGCUUACACUAGAGGACAGGGUUCGGGAAGUUACUCAGUCCGACCAAUUCAGUCUUCACUACAGACUGUAGUUGGGGGACCACCUCAGACCGGUCAACACUUCUCCGAGAGGCCUAUGCUUGACUCCAGAGAGAGUUAUGGAUGUGGGGAGAUUGGACAUAUUAGGAAAAGUUGUCCCAGACAAAGUUAUAGACCCCCAAUAGCUAGAGGUAGAGGUGGUCAUGGUAGAGGCCGUUAUUCUGGAGGACGUGGUGGUCGAGGUAAUGUUGGUCACCAAAACGGCCGAGGUGAUGGGAAAACUGGAGCCACUACAUCACAACAAGGUAGGGGCAACGGACAGACUAACGAUAGGGCCCAUGUUACGCUUUCCCUGGGCGGUCUGAAGCGGAGGCAUAUGAUGCUGUCAUCACAGGUAAUCUUUUGGUUUGUGAUUGCAUGGCUUCUGUAUUGUUUGAUCCUGGAUCCACAUUUUCUUAUGUAUCUUCCUCAUUUGCUAAUGGUCUAACUUUACAUUGUGAAUUACUUGAUAUGCCUAUUCGUGUUUCUACUCCGGUGGGUGAGUCUGUGGUAGUUGAAAAGGUGUAUAGGUCUUGUUUGGUGAACUUUGUGGGGAGCAACACUUAUGUAGAUUUGGUUAUCUUAUAAAUGGAUGAUUUAGAUGUAAUUCUGGGUAUGACUUGGCUUUCUCCGCAAUUUGUGAUCUUGGAUUAUAAUGCUAAAACGGUGACGUUAGCCAAGCCUGGGACAGAUCCGUUAGUGUGGGAGGGUGACUACACUUCCAAUCCGGUGCGUAUCAUCUCCUUUCUUCGUGCUAAGAAAAUGGUUAGUAAAGGGUGUUUAGCUUUCUUGGCACAUCUCAAGGAUGACACUACCCAAGUACCUUCGAUUGAGUCGGUUUCGGUAGUCCGCGAGUUUUUGGAUGUGUUCCCUGCAGAUCUUCCUGGUAUGCCACCAGAUAGGGAUAUUGACUUCUGUAUCGACCUUGAACCGGGCACACGCCCCAUUUCUAUACCCCCUUAUAGAAUGGCUCCCGCGGAGUUAAGAGAGUUAAAAGCCCAACUUCAAGAGUUGUUAAACAAAGGCUUUAUUAGACCAAGUGCAUCUCCUUGGGGUGCUCCGGUUUUGUUUGUGAAGAAGAAGGAUGGGAGUUUUCGAAUGUGCAUAGACUACAGACAACUGAAUAAGGUAACCAUAAAGAACAAGUAUCCUCUUCCUCGCAUUGAUGACUUGUUCGAUCAGUUACAAGGUGCUUAUGUCUUCUCUAAGAUUGACUUGAGAUCUGGUUAUCAUCAAUUGAAAACCGGGCAACGGAUGUGCCAAAGACUGCUUUUCGAACGAGGUAUGGGCAUUACGAAUUUGUAGUGAUGUCUUUUGGUCUUACGAAUGCCCAUGCUGCAUUCAUGAGCUUGAUGAACGGGAUUUUUAAGCCAUAUUUGGAUCUCUUCAUGAUCGUAUUUAUUGAUGAUAUAUUGGUAUACUCAAAGAGCAAGAAGGAACAUGAAGAGCAUUUGAGAAUGGUAUUGGAAAUGUUGAGGGAGAAAAAGCUUUAUGCCAAGUUCUCUAAGUGUGAGUUUUGGCUAGAUGCAGUGUCCUUCUUGGGGCACGUGGUUUCUAAAGAAGGAGUGAUGGUGGAUCCUUCUAAGAUUGAGUCAGUGAAGAAUUGGGUAAGACCUACUAAUGUAUCGGAAAUAAGGAGCUUUGUUGGGUUAGCAAGCUACUACCGCCGAUUUUUCAAGAGAUUCUCUUCUAUUGCUUCCCAAUUGACGAACUUGACUAAGCAGAAUGUUCCAUUUGUAUGGUCGGACGAAUGUGAGGAAAGCUUUCAGAAGCUCAAGACUUUGUUGACUACCGCAUCUAUCCUUACCUUGCCAGUAGAGGGUAAGAACUUCAUUGUUUAUUGUGAUGCAUCCUAUUCUGGUUUGGGUGCAGUACUAAUGCAAGAGAAGAGUGUGAUUGCUUAUGCUUCAAGGCAAUUAAAGGUACAUGAACGUAACUAUCCAACUCAUGAUUUGGAAUUGGCUGCGGUAGUAUUUGCAUUAAAGCAAUGGAGACACUACUUAUAUGGGGUUAAGUGUGAGAUCUAUACAGAUCAUCGUAGCCUACAGUACGUCUUUACUCAGAAAGAUUUGAACUUGAGACAGAGGAGAUGGAUGGAGAUACUAAAGGACUACGAUAUCACUAUCUUGUAUCAUCCGGGAAAGGCGAAUGUUGUAGCGGAUGCUUUAAGUAGAAAGGCGGGAAGCAUGGGAAGUCUAGCUCACUUGCAAGCUUCUAGACGCCCAUUGGCUAGAGAGGUUCAGACUCUAGCUAAUGACUUGAUGAGAUUAGAAGUAAAUGAGAAGGGAGGAUUGUUGGCUUCUGUGGAGGCAAGAUCUUUCUUCCUUGACAAGAUUAAGGGAAGACAGUCUGAUGAUGAGAAACUGCGCAGAAUUCAAGAUAAGGUAUUGCAAGGAGAGGCUAAGGAAGCACAAAUCGAUGAGGAAGGUGUUUUGAGGAUCGAGGGAAGGGUAUGCGUACCCCGCGUCGAUGAUUUGAUCAACACUAUUCUGACAGAGGCUCAUAGUUCGAGGUAUUCGAUACAUCCGGGUGCAACCAAGAUGUACCGUGACCUAAAGCAACACUUUUGGUGGAGUAGAAUGAAGCGUGACAUUGUGGAUUUUAUUGCCAAAUGUCCAAACUGUCAACAAGUAAAGUAUGAACACCAGAGGCCCGGAGGAACACUUCAGAGAAUGCCCAUUCCUGAAUGGAAGUGGGAGAGAAUUGCAAUGGACUUUGUGGUUGGUCUCCCCAAGACAUUGGGAAAGUUUUAUUCUAUUUGGGUAAUUGUUGAUAGGUUAACUAAGUCUGCUCACUUCAUUCCGGUCAAGGUGACUUACAAUGCAGAGAAGUUAGCCAAACUUUACAUCUCGGAAGUGGUGCGAUUGCAUGGAGUUCCACUAUCCAUCAUAUCAGAUAGAGGUACGCAGUUUACUUCUAAGUUUUGGAAAACAUUGCAUGCGGAAUUGGAUACUAGGUUGGACCUUAGUACCGCGUUCCAUCCUCAGACCGAUGGUCAGUCUGAGCGAACGAUUCAAGUGUUGGAGGAUAUGCUUCGUGCAUGUGUGAUAGAGUUUGGUGGUCAUUGGGAUAGCUUCCUACCCUUAGCGGAAUUUUCAUACAAUAAUAGCUAUCACUCAAGCAUUGAUAUGGCUCCAUUUGAAGCAUUGUAUGGUAGGAGAUGUAGGUCUCCCAUUGGUUGGUUUGAUGCGUUCGAGGUUAGACCUUGGGGUACUGAUCUCUUGAGGGAUUCGAUGGAAAAAGUGAAGUCUAUUCAAGAAAAGCUUCUAGCGGCGCAAAGUAGACAAAAAGAAUAUGCAGAUCGAAAGGUUAGAGACUUAGAGUUCAUGGAGGGUGAACAAGUCUUGUUGAAAGUUUCACCAAUGAAAGGGGUGAUGCGGUUUGGUAAAAGGGGUAAACUAAGUCCAAGGUACAUUGGACCGUUUGAAGUACUUAAGCGAGUAGGGGAGGUGGCUUAUGAGUUAGCCUUGCCUCCAGGGCUGUCUGGAGUACAUCCGGUAUUCCAUGUGUCGAUGUUGAAAAGAUACCAUGGGGAUGGAAACUACAUUAUCCGUUGGGAUUCAGUUUUGCUUGAUGAGAACUUGUCUUAUGAGGAGGAGCCUGUUGCUAUUCUAGAUAGAGAAGUUCGCAAGUUGAGGUCAAGAGAGAUUGCAUCCAUCAAGGUGCAAUGGAAGAAUCGACCGGUUGAAGAAGCCACUUGGGAGAAGGAGGCAUAUAUGCGAGAAAAAUACCCACAUCUGUUUACAGAUUCAGGUACUCCUUUUCGACCUUGUUUUCCUUCUUUUGAUCGUUCGGGGACGAACGAUGGGCAAAUUGGUAUCUAUUGUAAUGACCUAUUUAGUCGUUUUGAGCAGCAGAUUUUAUUCUGGAAAAAACAGGCUGAGGUGACGGACCCCACGACGGACCGUCAUGGGCACGACGGACCGUCGCAGGGUCUCAUUUCAAAACACUUAGAAAAUCUGAAAUUGGGUACUGAAAAUCGACUCUCUGAACUUCGUAACGGAGUGGCAGGACGGACCGUCAAAGGUGUGACGGACUGUCACAGGCCAUUCACCCAAAAUCAAGUUUCUGAACUAUGCGACUAACAGCAGGACGGACCGUCGCAAGCGCGACGGCCCGUCACAGUUUGCAUAAUCCCAGUUGGAGUCGGAUUUCUGGUUAAGUUUUAAGGGACGUUUUUGACUAUUCUUGCCUUAAUUAUAAAGUUCGUGGGUUUAUAUUAAUAACUCAAAUUCUUGGGGGUUAAAAGAGGUAACCCUAAGUUAAUUAGUCGGGUAUUAUUGCCAUAUUUUAUUCUUAAUUAUAUACUAAUUAGGGUAAAAGAAAGAGGGUUUGAAUAAGAAAAUAGAAAGAACAAGAAGGGAGAGAGAGAAACGAUCAAGAAGAAGAGGAAAACACCAAGCUUUGAGGAUUAACUUGCUUGAUUUCAAUUCUUCGGUGGAGGUAGGUUAUGGUUUCAUGCUAUUUGAUAGUAAACUCUUAAUAGCGAAUGAUAUGUGUUAGUAGUAUUGUAAACCUUCUAUAUUCUUAAUUGUAUGCUUGCAUGAAUGAUGUGAUUAUGUAAUUGUUAAUAAAUAAGCAUGAUGAAGCUAUUGAAUCCCAAAUCUUGAAAAGAAACCCUAAUCUACUUUGUUAAUGAAGAUGCCUUGGUAUAGAAGAAGGCUUAAUGAAUUAAAGUAAUGGGAUUGAUGAUGCCAUGGUAUAGAGAAGGCUUGAUGAUUUACAGAAUGAUAUUAGUGGAUCGGAGUGUCACGUUCCGACACAUAGUAUUAGUGGAUCGGAGUGUCACGUUCCGACACAUAGUAUUAGUGGAUCGGAGUAUCACGUUCCGACACAUAGUAUUAGUGGGACGGGUGUCACGAACCGACACUUAGAAUUAGGGGAUCAGAGUGUCACGUAGCGACACAUAUAGGGGAUCGGAGUGUCACGUACCGACACAUAUAGGGGAUCGGAGUGUCAUGUACCGACACAUAUAGGGGAUCGGGUGUCACGAACCGACACGUAGAAUUAGGGGAUUGGAGUGUCACGUACCGACACAUAGUAGUAGGGGAUCGGAGUGUCACGUACCGACACAAGAGGAAGAAAGAUAAUGAAUCUUGAAAGAUGAUAAUAUACUCAACUUAAUAAACUUAAUUCCCAAAUGAGUAUGACAUUGAGGCUUGAGCCCUCAUGGAUGAACUUGAUGGUACUUAUUGAUGAUUAUAGUACCUGUUGUUGCUACAUGUUGAGUUUUAUAGUUGAAUUAUGAUAUUACUUGAUAUAUACUGUUCUCUAUUUUGAGUUGACCGAUGAUAUCUACUCAGUACCCG